UACAGAGGCCUCGAGCGUUAGGCGGAAUCACUGGGCUUAAAGCGUGUGUAGGUGGAUGCCUAAGUGCCUUGUGAAAUCCCAUGGCUUAACCAUGGAAUUGCUGGGCAUACUGGGCGUCUUGAGCCACUCAGGGGCUACCGGAACAAACGGUGGAGCGGUGAAAUGCGUAGAUAUAUGAAAGAACAUCAAUAUGGCGAAGGCAGUUAACUAUUCUGCUACUGACAUUGAGGCAUGAAAGCGUGGGGAGCAAAACGG
rnacentral:rRNA from 1 species